ensembl:lncRNA
CAUUGCUCUACACUAGUGGUGGAGUCAGUUUGCAAAUCACAGCCAUGAAGGUGAUGGAAAAAAAUGACUACCAAUCCUUGCAGUCCAUUUAUGAAGGAACUAUUCGUAGGCAAGCCCAGAGGACAGUGACUGAACUGUCACAUAUCCUCACUUGGAAUACAAGCUCCUACCCUCGGGCAGACGAUAUAGAGUCCCCAACUGCAGACUCAACCAUUUUAAGAAUUCAUUUGUUCCAACCUCCAUCAAACUCCUGAACAAUGCUGCUUAGGCUGAAGAUUAUGCAAUCAUUUUUUAUAGUGUUUUUACUAGGGUGUAUGUAUGUGUUAUGUGUAAUGUUUGGCGUAUGUGCAACACUGUUUUGUAGUUGUUGAGAUGGCAAUGAUGGCACAGCUUUUGAGUCCAAGAUAAAAUUCUCCAAGUGGGGCAAUAAA